CAUCCUUUCUGAUUACAGUAUGAACUCUAAGAACACACCUUAUCCACAGCUUGUCCUUUGCCAACUGAUCUUUCUACUUCUGAUAUUAUUUGGUUUCGAAUUUCAGUCAGCAUACUCAUGUCGGGAGCUUUUCGAGCCUCUCCCCAGUAACGCAUCAGGUGAUCAGCUUUCCAUUAAUAUUGAUUAGAACCGCCCCACCUUCGUGAAUUGAAUUCUCUGAAAAGUCUGUUUGGCUAUUGUUCAUUUGUAUUUCGUAUUUUUUAUAAUAAUUUACAUACGUUUCCAAGGAAUCAUGAUCCAUGAUUGUGGUUAACGCAGGACUAGGCAAGCAUAAUCCGGGCGGUAGAGUUUGCCGGAGCAUAUCACCGCCGGGAGGCCAUGGAUAAAUGAUCGAUCGGCAGAUAUGGCCGGAGAGUAUAUUUUCCUCUUCGCUGGUGGAUAUUAUAUAUAUUAGGCAAACAAAUUAAGGUCUAUUUGACUGUUGGAAUUUAUUAAAAUGGUAUGUAUUAGUAAUUUUUGUGUUUCCAUAUAUGUGAUUGGAAGAGUGGUUAUUUUUUAUAGAAAGAGAAGAUUUAAGAUUCUAGUUAUUAAUAGUAAUGGUUAGUGGGAACCAAAACCUCAAUUAUCU
rnacentral:lncRNA from 1 species